GUUUGUUUGUUCUGAAGCCGAUUCAUCUUAUUCACUACUGAUUCCAUAACACCUGUAUCAGUGGUGCCACAAAGGAACAAAUGAUGAGUUACAGUCUUGUUUCUUCAAAAACCACCACAGGGAGAUGUCAGUAAGGGUUUGAGACUGGAAAGUGGAGGUGAGAAGAUUAGCCCAGAGAAGUGGACCAAAAAUGAAUGCUUUAAUAAACGUCUUCCUAAAAGUCUCAAGAGAAAGGCAGAUGGAGCGAUUCCCUUAGCCAGAAGAGACCCGACCAAGCGGCAGAGAUGACGGACUGACGUCUAGGGAAGGGGCUCACACCUCUAAGUCCUUCCCCCCACCCCCACCCCCUUUCAAAUUUGGCCUGAAUCCUAGGUCAAAUGUGGCUCUUGGCCUUACGGUAGCACUGCCCUUGGGUCUGAAGGGGAACUCCACUGGAAGAUUCCAGAGACUCUCUAGGUCGGGAGAAAGGGAAAAUUCAAACUUCUGCCGUGCAACCUUGAGGGAACGGGAGUCCUAAGUGCUCGCUAGGUGAAGUCACCUCGGGUCUGCGCUCUUGGCCGCCUCCAAGACCUCCAGUCUCCUAAACUCGGGAAACCCAGGACCCCAGAGGUUAGGGUGAGAGUUUGAACCUCCCACCCUUGCGGACUGUGAACUUCCCGGAAUAUUCGGAAGGAGUUCUUUGGGUCCUCGGACUGUUGACCCGCGUUCAGAUCUGCAUCCUCUCAAGUUGAUGCGCCCAGGAUCCUGGGACUCUGCUCUUGAACUCCGGUGUGGUGUCUUGCGGUGAAACCCAUUCCCAGUGGUUGUUUCCCUGCUGGGCCUUGGCUAAGAGGCUCUCUUGACACCACGAAGGAUGACGAAGCUGGUCUGCGGCAGCCCCUCUCCCCUAUUCUCCGCACUCUCUGGUGGGCGUCACUGUCCAGGAAACAGGAGUCCCGAACUGACACCUUGGUGCAGAGGGGCCACGAGAGAAAUCUCUACCCUGCCAAGAAGCUGCUGCAUCACAGUGCUCCCAUGGUGGAGCCACUGUCUACAGAAGCAUCAUGGGAGCUGUUAGGAGCAUUCUAGACCCACCUGUACUCGAGGAGCAUUCUCACCAGCAUCAGUGUGGAAAGACCAAAAUAGGAAGACAGUGUUGGGAACGUGGCCCUGACUGUCUCACCAUGAUCAACGGCAGGAGUCUCAUCCAGGCUAUUGUGGUGGUGUCCGUGGGUACCACAUAGCAUGGAGAGCUAGGUUCCUGCCACACAACGUGCCUCCAGACCUUGCUACCAUCGGCUCACCAUCGAGGAACACCUUUUUAUUUGGUGAGUAUGCAGAGGGAAGAGCCUUGACUCUGGAGACUUGGGGACCAAAGUCAGAGAGACCCUUAAGCUGGUUUUGUAACUCCCCUUAGAACCACAGAAUGCUAUGUGGCACCAAGGUCCUUGUUCUCACAGGUGAGCACCAGGGAAACAAGGAAUAUUAAGCACGCAGUGUUGUCUCUUCAAAGGAAGAGAUAUAUAACUGUUUUCCACCCAGAAGGCUGGGAGUGGAUGUGCUUAAUAUUCUACUGUCCUUCGUGCUAUCUUUUUGACCAAGACCGUGCCAGAUCCUCCCCCAAACUUAAGAUGUCACACAUAAUCAAUCAGAUGGGUGGUGGUGGUCCAAGCCUUUUAUUCCACAGGUCUUGUAUGGCAGAGGCAGAUGGAUCUCUGAGUUCGAGGCUAGCCUGGUCUACAGAGUGAGUCCAGGACAGCCAAGGCUACACAGAGAAAUUCCUGCCUUGAAAAACCAAAAAUAAAUAAGAUUUUCUUUAAAAGCUGUCAUGUGUACUCAAUCUACAGAACCCAUCUUUAUGGAGAUGUCACGUGUAUUGUUUUGAUGUAUUGGGCACACGGGAGUGUGUUAAUUAUCACCAGAACAUUGUUUCACCAAAUUAUGCUGGUGUCAGACUCUUGAAGUUUGAACCAACACUUAGCCGGGCGGUGGUGGCGCACGCCUUUAAUCCCAGCGCUUGGGAGGCAGAGGCAGGCGGAUCUUUGAGUUAGAGGCCAGCCUGGUCUACAGAGUGAGUCCAGGACAGCCAAGAUUACACAGAGAAACCCUGUCUCGAAAAUAAAACAAAGCAAAAUAAAAUAAAAGUUUGAACCAACCCUGGCUAUUGAGUCAUGUUGAACUAGACUGCCCUUUUCCCUCAUCUGGCAAAAAAAGAUCAUUACUCGGGUGGCAAUGGGGCUGAUGCGGUGGUACCUAUGGUGGUGGUAGUAGUGGCCUUGCCCGCUUGGGUAGUACUAGUGUUAGUGGUGCUGAUGGCGGUAGUGCUCGUAGGGGUGGUACUGGUGGUGGUGGCAGGGGCAUGGGCACAACUGGCGACCAAUGUGAGGGACUCAACUCUUAGAGAAGGUAAGAUUUUUCUUUUAAUAGACUCGGGUCUGGGUUCGGUCCUGUCACCAAGAGAUGACAACUGUAAGUAAGAAGGUAAAAUAAGCUUGGGUUCUUCUCAGCCCUCGGAGAUAAAGCAUUCUAGACAGUUACUGAUAAUGUUUGUUUAAGAACCAAAGGAAGAAAAUAUUGAGAGCAAUAGCUCUGCAAUGUGAUGUCUGUAAAAUUCAGUCCAUGGCUUCCUGACCGAGAACAUUGGAACUGCAACCAUGAGGUGGGGGUCUACAGAGAAAGUCCCAGGACAACAACUCUGUCUUGAAAAACCAAAAAAAAAAAAAAAAAAAAAAAAAGACAACCGGAAAUGCAUAGGAGCUAAUGUAAAAAGGGCCCGUGAAAGAGGAGAUAAAAUUCCCGUGCCAAUUAUUUCCCAAGCUGGAGCACAGUACUGUAUUGCUCGGACUCGGGAGGAUCAUUGAAAAAAGAAUUUUUGUUUCCUCUGCAGGCCAAGUGGACUCCACUGCUCCUGGAGGUCACCCAGGUCAGGGCAUGCUCAUGUUGCUGUCACAUCAUGUGUCGCAUCCAUCCAGCCACAUGCUCUCAGUCUUGCAAAAUAAGGAAUUUUAUCUCGUCUUCACAUAAAAAAUGGAGACUUUCUCACUUCAGGCCUUUCAGGCACUGAGAGACCAAAUACCACCCAGAUUCCUUGGUAUUUAUGAUUUCUAAAAUUUCAUUUUUUAAAAUUUACACUUUAUACAAUAUAACAAAAAAUUUAUGAAUAACAAUGUGAACAAGCUUCACAUGAAUUUAAGGGAAAAAAAGGGGGGGCAAAUUGGAAUCAAGAAAAUAUUUUAGAGUAUUUCUUCUGGAUAAUAUGGUGGCCAUGGACUGAAAAGAUAAUUGCAUAUUUCUCAAAUUUCUUUGGAAGGCAGAAGGAGUUAAACCAGAAAUGCAAUCAGUAUGAGUUAGAUUAUUUUAAAGUUUUUGCCUAAAAUUAUUUUUGGUAAAGACUAAGAACCUGUUAAAUGUAGAAAGAACUAGCACCUUCUGGAAGGUUCUUCUUCCGUGGAACUGGUGUACGCAUUUUUGUUUUGUUUACAGUACCAGCUAGACAUGUUCUUUCAUGCUUGCAUGGGAAAGCACAAUUGUUUUUUCCUUCAGGAUUUUCUGUGAUUGUUUCUCAGUACUUCUGAAUAUACUGUUAACCUAAUAGGAGAGUCUUCUUGAACUCAAAAUUAAAAUCGCCCUAAAUUUUAAAGAUCCCAAAUCUUACAUAAAUAGCCUUAGGUUUAAAUCUUUAAAAGUUAAUGACCAUUGCGAAUUAAGUAAGUUCUACUUUUUUGGUUUUGUGCUUCCCUGAGUCUGACAUCAAUGAUCAGACUCUUGACUAGGGAGGAAGUUAGAGGAGGCUCAUGCACGCCUAUCCUCUAUUGCAGGCUUAUUUCACACAGUAUUCUAAAACUGAUUAGUAGUGAGUACUUCUCACGUCAGCUUGACGUCUAGAACUAGGGCUGUCUAUGUCUGUAGCCUUCUCUUUCGGGUGCGCAGAGGCCUUGUGCUUGGUGUGCACCAAAGGCACACACAGUGCCUCCUGCUGAUUAGUCAGCUGCACAGCACAACUCCAGGCAGGACACGGGGUCCUGAGGGCUCCAGGAAAAUUCCAUGGUGUCAUAUCUAGAGCUUGAUUUUAUCAAAUAGUUCCUUAUACAUUUCCUUCCUAGGACUCCCAUUGCAACUGAAAAACUGAUAAUGAACCUGCUUGUACUAGCAAGCACUUUAAAAUUUUUUGCAAGGUAUGGAAUAUUAAUCGUGUUACUGUAAUUCCUUACAAUCGUCAGGGUCAAACUAUUGUAAAACAACACUAUCAAAUACUGGUACACCAGUUUAAAUCCCCACAAACUAUGCUACAUUUAGCUAUAUUAACUUUCCUUUUUCUCACUUUGAAAGAUAAUGCUUUUUCUGCUUCUGAUGAGCAUUUUGCCCUAAAGGAGACAUAACCUAAAGUAUAUGUUAAAAAACAAGAUCUAACUAACCACUAAAAAGGGCCCGAUGUUUUAAUAUCGAGGCAAGGCUUAUAUCUUACAGAAGAGAAAUGAAGUCCCAGAUGGCUCCUGCCCUGACAUAUCCAACAAGGACAGCAUCCCAGAGACCACCAGACUAACCAAGUGCCUACAGAUAGACGACAAAGCCAUCAAAAGGAGAUGUCCCAAGAAGAAGAGGAAGCCAAUAACUUGGGGGAGACAUCAAGACUUUAACUUGUCAAGCCAAGACUUUGGGGAAACAAUAAGGACAUAAUACUACUGACCCCCCAAAACAAUGCUGUUAUGUUUACUGACUAUAUAUUACCAGUUAUUUCUCAGCUUGCCAGUGCAGAUUCCAAAUGCCUUUUGUCAGGGGGACUAAAAGACACCCCUGUAAGGGGAGAGAAUAUGAUGUUGUUUUGCUAUGCUAAAAACUGUUUUUAUCCCUUGGGACCAGUUGUCUGGACAAAAGAAAGUAUACAAAUAUCUAGUCACAUGCAUGGGGGAUAUUUCGGUUGGACUAAUCUAACUGAUUAAUCCAAAUGUAAUAAUACAGAUUUUAACAUAAUAUCUGUGCUCUUUAGAAGGUUCUGAUAGUGGAAAUUAUAAUUGUAUGAAGAUGAAAAAGAAUAUCUGAUGUAUUGCUUACUAACGUUGAACCAGCACCAUCUGCUGGUCAUGUUAAAUCCAACUGCAUUCUUGCCUAUGGGUGAGGUUUUAUUUUAGAUCCAUACCCUGAAGUUUUCUGUGCCAUGUGCCACCAUCCUCUUCCCCACCUUAAUACAUUUUAAAGUGUGCUGCCCGCUUGUUCUUGCCUUCCCAAGCCAGCCCCUCCACCUUCUCCUUCUGCAGUAAACUCCC